CCUACGGGAGGCAGCAGUGGGGGAUAUUGCACAAUGGGGGAAACCCUGAUGCAGCGACGCCGCGUGGGCGAAGAAGUAUUUCGGUAUGUAAAGCCCUAUCAGCAGGGGAGAAGAAAUGACGGUACCUGAGUAAGAAGCACCGGCUAAAUACGUGCCAGCAGCCGCGGUAAUACGUAUGGUGCAAGCGUUAUCCGGAUUGACUGGGUGUAAAGGGAGCGCAGGCGGGACGGGAAGUCAGGUGGGAAAGCCCGCGGGGCAACCGCGGAACAGCCUUUGAAACUGUCAGGCUUGAGUACCAGAGAGGUCAUCGGAAUGCCCUGUGUAGCGGUGAAAUGCGUAGAUAUAAGGAAGAACACCAGUGGCGAAGGCGGAGGACCGG
rnacentral:rRNA from 1 species